rnacentral:rRNA from 1 species
AACGAACGUUAGCGGCGCGCUUAACACAUGCAAGUCGAACGAGAAAGGGCUUCGGCCCCGGUACAGUGGCGCACGGGUGAGUAACACGUGGAUAAUCUUCCCUCGGGCGGGGGAUAACAUUCCGAAAGGAGUGCUAAUACCGCAUAAGACCACGUUCUCGAAAGGGAACGAGGUAAAAGCCGGCCUCUAUAUAUAAGCUGGCACCUGAGGAUGAGUCCGCGGCCCAUCAGCUAGUUGGUAGGGAAUGGCCUACCAAGGCUAAGACGGGUAGCUGGUCUGAGAGGAUGAUCAGCCACACUGGAACUGAGACACGGUCCAGACUCCUACGGGAGGCGGCAGUGGGGAAUCUUGCGCAAUGGGCGAAAGCCUGACGCAGCGACGCCGCGUGAGUGAUGAAGGCCUCGGUUGUAAGU